rnacentral:tRNA from 1 species
AAAACAAAAAUAAAAAAGAUUAUCCGACCUGCCGGAAUCGAACCAGCGACCUAAAGAUUACAGCAACUACUACAGUCUUCCGCUCUACCAACUGAGCUAAGGUCGGAUUGAU